AGGUAUUUGGGUGCUGGGUCUGGAUGCUGGUAGCUGCCACCCAGGUAGCAAACGCCUUGCUACAAGGAUGGGUGAUAUAUGUCUCACUCACCUCUUUUCUCAUCUCCCUGAUGUUCCUGUUGUCUUACUUGUUUGGAUUUUACAAAAGAUAUGAGUCCUGGCGAGUCCUGGUAAGAACCAGAGAGGGUGACCCAAGCCCUUGGAUUCCUCCUGAUGUCUGUCCUGGGUAUUGUGAGGACAAAGGGCCUUCUGGGUGGGGAAGGAGAAAGGCUGAGAAGGUAAAUGACUUCAUUGCUCCAUGGAGAAGGUGAGGACUGCUAAAAAGGGGGAUCCCCCCCACUUCAAAAACGGUGUACAUAAGUAAGGCACGAAGAAUGACUAAUUACAAUCAUUUCAGAUGGCAUUUGAAAAGCAGAGACCAGGGACCAGAGGCCUUUUCAGGGCUGGGUCACUAUGGAUCCAAGACUUUUUCAUCUUCACAGGUUUACUAUUUUUUUUUUAAUGUUUAUUUAUUUUUGAGAGAGAGGUAGAGCGCAUACGAGAGCAGGGAAAGGGCAGGGGAGGGGCAGAGAGGGGAGACAGAGGAUCCAAAGUGGGCUCCACACAAACAGCAGAGAGCCCGAUGUGGGGCUUGAACUCAUGAACCGUGAGAUCAUGACCUGAGCUGAAAUCAAGAGUUGGACGCUUAACUGACAGAGCCACCCGGUGCCCUUUCCUGUGUUUACUAUUAAGCCAGAAUGAAAGCAUUUCUCUGCCACAGCAAAUUUUUCAUUGUAUUCCCCUCCAUCAUCUUCCUUGUUAGGAAUAUACAUAUUCUAUACAAAGCGCAUCCUGACGCGUUUCCCUUUAAAUUUUAUUUAUGGUUAAAUCAUGGGAGCAGCAUUAAAGGAAAUGAUAGUAGGAAAAAAAUCCCCCAAUCCCAUGGUGCUCUCACAAACACUGGGUGCAUUCUCCUAUAUUCCUUGCAAAUUGUAUGUAAAAUGUAUAUAUAAUCACAUUGAACCAAUAAUUUUGGAUGUCAGUUCUUUCAUUAAUAUUAUGUCAUUACAUUGUUUUCAUGUCACAUCAUCUUGAUAACCAUUUAAAUUUUUUUUUUUGUUUUGGGGCUCCUGGGUGGCUCAGUCGGCUGAAUGUCCAAGUUCGGCUCAGGUCAUGAUCUCACAGUUCAUGAGUUCAAGCCCCACGUCAGGCUCUGUGCUGACAGCUCAGAGCCUGGAGCCUGCUUCGGAUUCUGUAUCUCCUUCUCUCUCUGCCCCUCUCUCUCGUGCUCUGUCUCUUUCUCUCUCUCAAAAACAAAUACACAUUUAAAAUAAAAUAAAAUAAAAUAAAAAAAAAUAAAAUAAAAUAAAAAUUUUCUGUAUUGAACAAUUUAGGACAUAUACGAAAGUAGGGACCAUUAUAUUAUGGACCCUCAAGUAACCAUAACCCAGAUUCCUACACUACUAAGUGUUAAACAUGCUUGCUGCACCUAGCCUUUUUUUUUUUCUCCUGAAGGAUUUUAAAGCAAAUCCAAAACAUGUCAUUCCAUUCUAUACAUUUCAAUCUGCCUCCAAAGAAACAUGCAAACUUCUUACGUUACGACACUUACAUAAAGUUAUUAACAAUAAUUCCUCGGUAUCAUCUAAGACCCAGACCAUAUGCAGAUUCACCCGAUUACACCUGAAAUGUCUUUUUACAGUUGGCCGGUUCAAUCAGGAUCCUCACAGGGGCCGUGUGUUGCACUUGGUAGUGAGGGUUCUUGGGUACCUUUAACCUCCAAUGGCUCUCCCUGCCAGGGACGCUGUUGAAGAAAGCGGGUCAGCUGUCCUACAGAAGGUCCAACCUUUUGGGUUUGUCUGUUUGUUUCUUCCUGGUGAGAUGUGACUUGGUCCUCCAAGUCCCUGCAGUGAAGAUGAGUUCACACCUUUCUGGAAACAACAUUCCGUUAAGUGGGUUCCAGUCGUUAUCACAUGUGGCAACUGGUGGCCCCUCUUCCACUGUGACAGGCUUACCCAUCAGCUUUUCCCCUGAUACUUUUUUUUUCGUCUCCUAAUAAGUUUUCCUGAGUUGAAUAUCUCAUUAGGGGUUGCAAAAUGCCAAUUCGCCUGUGACAACAUUCCUUCCAGAACUGAUAACCAUUUAAAAAAAAUCUUUUUUUCUUUUUCUUUUUAACGUUUUUUCAUUCUUACUUUUGAGAGAGAGACAGAGCAUGAAUGGGGGAGGGUCAGAGAGAGAGGGAGACACAGAAUCUGAAACAGGCUCCAGGCUCUGAGCUGUCAGCACAGAGCCCGAGGCGGGGCUCGAACUCACGGACCGUGAGAUCACGACCUGAGCCGAAGUCGGACGCUUAACUGACUGAGCCACCAGGUGCCCCCGUUGCCGUUUAUUAAUCCGCUAUUGUUCACCAGAAACCCUGUGAAAGAAAAAAGCAGGAGUCGGAGGAGCAGGCUUGUCUCUUUUGCUCCCUCCGCCCGGCUGUGUGGUCAGAGAGGGAAGUGUGCGCCUGCGUAAGUGCCCACAUGACGGUGGCCGUGGCCUCUCCUCUUCCUUUCCAGGACAGCCUGUACCACGGCACCACUGGCAUCCUGUACAUGAGUGCCGCUGUCUUACAAGCACAUGCCACCAUCGUUUCUGAGACCGCGGACCUGAGGAACUACUACAUAAACACCGCAGCCUCGGUGAGUGCUGCGCAGAACACGGAGCCACUGGUGGGGAGCACAUCGAAGGGGGCUUAAUUCUGUGUGCUGUGGAAUGGGGGGCCCUGAGCCUCAGACUGAAGGGGGCUUGGAGGAAAGGAGAUGUGUGUGUGCAUGUGUCUGUGUGCGUCUGUGUCUCUGUGUGUGCUGUGUGUGUGUGUCUGCACGAGCUCAGGGGGUACCAAGCCCAAGUUCAGCUGCGAUCUCACGUCUUCUGCUUCCCCGCCCAGCCUUGCCCUCAGAAUUCUUUUCUCUAAAACCCAAGCUGGAGCACAUUUCUCUCUUCCAUGGGAAGAAUUUCCACCGCUUGUGGAAAGGAACCCCAAUUCCUCGGCGUGGCUGAACCGUUCCAAUGUCCUUUUAUUUCAAGGACAAGUCCACAGGGCUAACACGUUGGCUGAUAGAACCCAGGGCCAGGUGGCCCGGCCAGUCGUGGGAAGAGCAGGACCCCCAAGACCUUAGGUCCACUAGGACCAGCGCUACUUGCCUUUCUCCCUUUGUGGAAUGGCGCCCUCACAUGGCUGCUUGCUCACAGCCAGCAGCUUCCUCCUCUGGCGGACUAACUUUCUUCAAUCCUGCCUCCAACACUUCUUGGAAAGGACCUAACACCCAGACUGGGUGAGAGCCCAACACCGACCGGUUGCUGUGACCAGAAAGAUCCAGGCCUGGGUCAGUCUGGGGGCUCCUGCAAGGAUCCAGUGGCUGGAGGAAGGGGUGUUGCCAUGGAGUGUUAUUCCCAAUUGUAAGAAUGGGGUGCCCGACAAGCACUAGGUGUUUCCAACCUGUCCGCUUCCUUUCCCUCCUUCUCAAACAAUUUUAAGUCCCUUAAACUCCCAACUAACGCCAACGCCCACACACCACCCUUCCACGGUCUGGCCCGGCACCCUCUGACCUCUCUCCCCUGCUCGCUCUCGGUCAGCUGCUCCAGCAACCUGGCCUCCUCGCUGCUCCCUGACCACACAGAGCCUGGCUCUCGCCUCCACCCCGACAGGGACGCCCUUGCUCCAAAUCCCUCACCUCCUUCUGCUGCUUUCUCACAUAUCACCUUUUCGGGAAGGCCUUGCCUUUCCCCCUCCCCAGCGGGCCCUGUAUUUUCUCUGCUUUAUUUUCUCCUGGGCACUUAUCCCCAUCAAACCAGCUACUCUACUGGUUUAGCUUGCCUCUUUUCUUUCUUUUUUUUUUUUUUUUUAAUUUUUUAACACUUGUUUAUUUUUUGAGAGACCAACAGAGACAGUGUGAGCAGGGAAAGGGCAGAGAGAGAGGGAGUCACAGACCCCAAAGCAGGCUCCAGGCUCUGAGCCGUCAGCACAGAGCUCGAUGCGGGGCUUGAACUCGUGAACUGCGAGAGCAUGACCCGAGCGGAAGUCAGAUGCUCAACCAACUGAGCCACGCAGGCGCCCCAAUCUUGCUUAUUUUCUGCUUCUGCCACGGAAAUGUAAGCGCCGUGAGGAUAGGAAUUUUUGAAUGUUUUGUGUGCUGUCAUUUUUGAAGUAUAGCAGGUGCCUGAAAGGUAUUUGCUAAAUGAAUGAGUGAAGGAAGGAAUGAGAACAGGGUGUGAGUGGACAGUGGGGCAAAGCGAAGCUGGAAUGGCCAGCCAGGCCUGGAAGGCCUAUCAAGGGCAAUGGCCUCCCUCUUGAGAAGCAAGGACUCACCACACAGUUUCAACCACAUGAGGGGAGCAACACGAUCACAUCUUCCUCUUGGGACAGAUCAAAGGGGAAGAGUGAGCAGAAGUGGGCAAGUUGAGGCCACGAAGGAUGAGGGCAGCCAAGACAAGGGAGAAGUGGGCGUACCAAGAGAUAGGCAGGCGGUACGCGCAGAUGAGUUUGGGGAUGGCUUUGGACGUGGUGGUGGGAGAAGGGAGGAGUCAGGCUGGUGUCUGGCUUGGGCAGCGGGAGGAGGUGAGGGUCCUAGAGCCCAUGAAGCUCGUGAGGCUACAGAGAUCUCAGGAGUCCAGUCCGGACCCAGGUGCAGGAGGGGUGGGGGCGGCCAUCUGGCCAUGGCUAACACGGAACCUCUCGUCUUCUGCCAGUUCUUCGCCUUUAUGACCACCCUGCUCUACAUUCUCCAUGCCUUCAGCAUCUAUUACCACUGAAGAAUCAGGGAGCCGUGCCGAAGGGAGAAAUGCCCUGUGAACACCUGGAUGAUCGGCUCCCAAAAGUAGUUUUCAACAUCCACCAUCUGGAUGGUAAACGGAAGAUCAACAAAAACAUCGAUGGGAUGGACAGGCCAGCUUUUCAGGCUGAGAGACCAGAUCGCACUCUG
rnacentral:lncRNA from 1 species